rnacentral:rRNA from 1 species
CCUACGGGGGGCUGCAGUGAGGAAUAUUGGUCAAUGGACGAGAGUCUGAACCAGCCAAGUAGCGUGAAGGAUGACUGCCCUAUGGGUUGUAAACUUCUUUUAUAUGGGAAUAAAAUGUUCCACGUGUGGGAUUUUGUAUGUACCAUAUGAAUAAGGAUCGGCUAACUCCGUGCCAGCAGCCGCGGUAAUACGGAGGAUCCGAGCGUUAUCCGGAUUUAUUGGGUUUAAAGGGAGCGUAGGUGGAUUGUUAAGUCAGUUGUGAAAGUUUGCGGCUCAACCGUAAAAUUGCAGUUGAAACUGGCAGUCGUGAGUACAGUAGAGGUGGGCGGAAUGCGUGGUGUAGCGGUGAAAUGCUUAGAUAUCACGAAGAACUCCGAUUGCGAAGGCAGCUCACUGGACUGCAACUGACACUGAGGCUCGAAAGUGUGGGUAUCAAACAGGAUUAGAUACCCGAGUAGUC